GACGAACGCUGGCGGCGUGCUUAACACAUGCAAGUCGAGCGGUAAGGCCCUUUCGGGGGUACACGAGCGGCGAACGGGUGAGUAACACGUGGGUGACCUGCCCUCAGCUCUGGGAUAAGCCUGGGAAACUGGGUCUAAUACUGGAUAUGACUCCACGGUGCAUGUCGUGGGGUGGAAGGCCUUGUGCGGCUGAGGAUGGGCCCGCGGCCUAUCAGCUUGUUGGUGGGGGAUGGCCUACCAAGGCGACGACGGGUAGCCGGCCUGAGAGGGCGACCGGCCACACUGGGACUGAGACACGGCCCAGACUCCUACGGGAGGCAGCAGUGGGGAAUCUUGCGCAAUGGGCGAAAGCCUGACGCAGCGACGCCGCGUGAGGGAUGACGGCCU
rnacentral:rRNA from 1 species